CAGCCUCAGGCAAGGGGAGAGUGGGGCUGGACUGGGUGGGUGGGGAGCGGCCGGGUGGCGGUGUCCAGCGGCGUUACCGCAUGUUGGGAAGCGCGCGCGCGGAGAGCGGCGGUCGAGGGCGCCGGGGAGCGGGGUCCUUCGCGCCUGCGAGGGGGAGACGAGGGCCGCGCCGCCACACCGCGCGCAGGCGUAUGCAGCGAGGAAAGCUGGUGGCGGCGGCGACCGUCCUAGGGCGUCCGCGCAGACCGGCGCAGACCGUCCCCAUGGUGCGCGGCGUACGAGGCCACGGGAUGGCCGCCACCUAGAAGCGCCUGCUCCGUCGCUGGAGCCCGAGUCUACGUACGUGUUAGUACAGUAUGUUGUAGAACCGCCUAUUGUUACGUGCCUUGGUAGGACUGGAAAUGAACCUGCAGGGAACCCUACGAAACUCCACCCUAAGCUCCUCUUCCGAAUAAUAGGUACUUUAAUCCGUGACCCUGAGACUGAAUCACACAGAAGUCCUCCACCUAUCUAAGGCCCUUUAGCGACGUCUUUACUUCUUGUUUCCGAUACUUACAUCGAAAUUCCCCGCGUGACCCCUACGAUUUCUACCUACACGAUGGAAAACCUUCAGUCUUGCCAAUGCAGACGAACUCCUUCUAUCAUAACUGAAAUCACUUAAGUUAGAUGCUUUAUUACAACGAGUUCAUAAUCAAAAACUCGAAUUGCCUUGGGUUUUUAAACAUGAGCCCUUAUAGGUACAAAACAAAUUAGGUUUCGCACCUCUAUAUUUUUACCCUGUCUAGGCGUACGAUGACCUCUCCCGCUUACGAGAACGACCUUUUACCCUACCUUAAGGAUAACACGACCGACCACUAAAAUUGUCGUGUGGACUUUCACGGUAGAUGUUCAAGAACAGCUGUUACUUCGACUUGCAAAGAAACGUACUAUCUUCCGUCAACAGACCUGACCUAUCGAGACUUAAACCAAACAUAACAUCAAAUGACUUGACGCUUACCUCACUGCUUCUUCACUCUUUACGCUGUCCCAGGAGUUUACAGUACCAGCGAUCUGUAGGCAACUUCGAGAGAUCGAGAAUACGGUACAAUUUCCCUUUAAGUUCGUUAUCCCCAGUAGUACCACUUGGAGAUCGUUGCAGUAUAGUGUUCUCCAAAGAACCCUGACAACUAAUAAACACCAUAUGAUGACCCGAACUUACGAGGUCUCAAAACCUGUGUGAUGGACACCUGCGAAACUCCUCUUGCUCCCCAGAAGGUUGGUCCCUUUACCCGUCACUAGUAGACGGUUAACAACGACUUAAGUAGAAGAGUCUUGUCUGGUCUCUACGUAGGCUCGUUCUUCUACUUAGACGUCCUCUUCGUUAGUGCAGUUUUGUGUAUAUAAAGAGGAGUCUGUCACUGUCAAUCCGACUACGUUCAAUCAAUAAGUUAACCAUCCUUUCCAAAUCCUAUUGGCUGAGCCUCCCGUGUCGCGUGUCGUGUAGUCUCAUACGUGCCGCCACUGGUAUGGUCAGUCCUAAGUCUACGUCUUUAAUAGAAUAGAUAGCAUUCCGAUACAGUAUAGGAACGGUUUGUGCGACACUCACUUACACGUUCCACAAAUCGGUCUUGGACAUCACCUAAGGUCAGUACGACGAAGUCCGACGACUAUGCCUAGUCUUAGUCCACACACCUCUACUACAGAGGUUACGGUUCCAAUACCGGUUUGCGAGCUCACAAGAGGCGUUCCAUAUGUUUAUAAACAGUCAAAUCGUAAACCAUGAGUCACAUAGAUAAGAGGAUAAAACGCGUCUUAUAACUGUGCGAUAACAAUACUAAAUUGCACGUCAGACAUGUAAUGCUGACAUCACAUGAGCAAGACAGAUAUGGGACGCAAAUCUGACGAUGCAUAUAUCCUCCUCUGAUUGGUUUGAAACGUAUAUAGGACAUUAUUUAAUAUGAUAAUAUCCUUAACGACAGUAGUUACUCCGGUCCAACCGAAAUCAUCCCCUCAACACACAGGC
rnacentral:rRNA from 1 species